GUCUACUGCCAUAACGCCCUGAGCACACCCAAUCCUGACUGAUCCCCGAAGCUAAGCAGGAUAGGGCCUUGGAUGGAAGAGACCCCAUCUCAAAAAAUGAGGUAGAGU
rnacentral:rRNA from 1 species